rnacentral:lncRNA from 1 species
UUUCUGUUCUACCCUCUACAUGCCCUCUCCUAUUCCCUCCUCCUCAUUCUAGGGAGGGGAGAGGGGCUGGAGACUGAGUUCACCCACCAAUGGCCAAUGAUUUAAUCAAUCAUGUCUACAUAAAGAAGUCUCCACAAAAACCCUAACUGACGGAAUUCAGAGAGCUUCUAGAUUGGUCAAUCACUAGAUGUGGUCUCUCACUGGCAACAUUAGCAGUGGACUUUGUAUGAUCACAGGCCAUGAUGAAGAAAACAACACAAUAUUAAACCAAGCACAAGAGAAAAUGAUGCAAUCAAGAGAUACAGUAAACACAGGAUGUAUGAGGCUGCUGCCGACAUACACAGCAUACUGCUUUAAAGUAAAUUUUUUUAAUUGACGCAAGAGUUGAGAGAGAAGUCUGAAUAGCCCUUCUAUUUGGCUGCCGCAAAUUUCUGAGAAUAAUGGACUUUCUUCUCUUCUGCCUUCCAAAUCACUCAAGCUCUUCUCGUUGGCAAUCUCCAACCAUACAGAGAAAGGAAGCCAUAUAAAAUCCAUUCAAGGAGAGAUAUUCUGGGAAAUGUAGGGGUUUGGUUUGGGGUUUUUGGGGUUUUUUUUUUGCAUAGGGGAGAAAUUAAUUUGUACUCUUCUUACAAUUGUUUUCUAAGUUGGAAAUCAUUGUAAAAUAAAAAGUUUAAG